rnacentral:rRNA from 1 species
CAGCGACGCCGCGUGAGGGAUGACGGCCUUCGGGUUGUAAACCUCUUUCAGCAGGGAAGAAGCGAAAGUGACGGUACCUGCAGAAGAAGCGCCGGCUAACUACGUGCCAGCAGCCGCGGUAAUACGUAGGGCGCAAGCGUUGUCCGGAAUUAUUGGGCGUAAAGAGCUCGUAGGCGGCUUGUCACGUCGGGUGUGAAAGCCCGGGGCUUAACCCCGGGUCUGCAUCCGAUACGGGCAGGCUAGAGUGUGGUAGGGGAGAUCGGAAUUCCUGGUGUAGCGGUGAAAUGCGCAGAUAUCAGGAGGAACACCGGUGGCGAAGGCGGAUCUCUGGGCCAUUACUGACGCUGAGGAGCGAAAGCGUGGGGAGCGAACAGGAUUAGAUACCCUGGUAGUCCACGCCGUAAACGUUGGGAACUAGGUGUUGGCGACAUUCGACCUCGUCGGUGCCGCAGCUAACG